UAUUUUUAAUAAUGUAAAACCAGGAAAAGGAAAAAAAAAAAAAAAACAAUCCUAAGAGCAGGAGAGAAGUUAAACUGUAGCACACUAGCAUAAUGAAUUAUAAAUACAGAACAUAAAAUUGUGUUUAAGAAAUCAUCAUAACAGAUGGAGAAAAUCUCAUCCUUUCAUGUUACAAGAAAGGGUAAAAUUCAUCAUUGUAAAUACACUAUAAUCUGAAUCAUGGGGGAAACAGACAAGAAUCUGAAAGGAAAUGCAUCAAACUAUUAACAGUUCUGGCCUUAAAGCUGAGACUUAGGGAGCUUUUGGAGAGGGUCCAACUUCACAAUGUCCCUGGGAAGGAAGGCCAUGCAGAACCCUUUGAAUUUACUUCCACAAAUAUUUCUUGAGUACCUACUUUGUACCAGGGGCCAUGGCAGGUACAGAGAUGAAUGAAGAAGAAAGAGAAAGUAUCAUUUGUUGAGAUUCUGCUGUGCUAAGCAACAUGCCAAUACCUUGUUGGGAACAUUGAAGUGUUUCAGCUCAUUUCAUUUCCAUAACAACCUCCCAAAGCAUCACUAUCACAAACACAGCCAAGAAAACUGAGGCUCAGGGAGGUUACAUGACUUGCAGACUCACUCAUCUGGUGAUUACUGGAGCUGGAAUUUGAAUCCUGUCUGACUCAAAGCCCAUCGUGUUUCAAUGCACCAUGACAGAAAACCAAAUUAGAAGUAUGCUUCAUAGGAAAGUGGGAAGAGGGUCCUGGGAAAUUAGGAGUCAGAGUACUUCCCAGCAAGCUGUGUGAAAGUGGGCCGGUUAUCCACUCUUAGUUACCCACUCUUAGCUUCACCAGCCUAGUCACGGGCUAAUACCUACCUUGCAGGGCUAUUGCAAGGAUUAAAGAAGAUAUGUGUAAAGCACCUAGCACAUGGGAGUCUAUAAAAAAACCUUAUUUUAUUCACAUCCAUGUAAAUUACCAUUUCUCAAAGAGGUAGGAGUCAUUUCCCUACACAUUGAAUUCUCAGAGCUUACAUUGGGUACAAAUUUUGAAAUCUAGGGUCAAAGUUAACAAGAUUUUGUUAUUUUGUUAUAUGGCUUUGAGAAAGUAUAUGGUUAUCUCAAGAAUCUCCGGAAAGUCUUCAAGAAGAGAAAAUCCCAAACCAGAGGAAAGUUCAAGGACUUGCUUUCCUACUCUCAAGUCCUCCUUCAGCCGAACUGCUGGUCAGGAAUGACAAGAGGACUCACCAUUGUUGAGUCUGCUCCUGAUUGUGCAUGAAAAGUGAUAACUACCAGGUCUGGCCCCCUGGAAUUGCCACAGCAUCUGCAGUGAGAGGAAGGCCAUUAUCUAAACUGCCUGGAAUCCCACAGCAAAUCUCUACAGAAGGGCACAAAGGUAUACCGGUUCAGGCUUCUGUUGGUCUCUGGGGGGAAGCUGACUUUGUUCCUUAAUGCCGUGACAAAUGUGUCCUUGAAUGAGGGAAUUGGCAAGACACCUCUCUCUGCACUGAAACCUGAUUGAAAGCAAGUCCAACCCCUCUGUUCUCUCAGGAGUCCCCACAGUUUCUAAGCUGGUUAGUCCUUUGUGAUUCAGCAAUUUCUAUGACAGGAAGACACCAUCUUUGUUUCUUCUAGAGAUAAUCUAUCCAUGGUGCAGCAUGAACCCUCAAGGACCGGGCUGCCUCCCAAAUAGGGAAGGAUCAUUGCCUGAAUGGAAGGACUUGAGAGAAACUGAAGAUGCAUCCCCAUGACACCCCAAGCAACCCCCCACCGCCACCCAAUAAACUUGUUUUCUUA